ACUUUCAGCAACGGAUCUCUUGGCUCUCGCAUCGAUGAAGAACGCAGCGAAUUGCGAUAAGUAAUGUGAAUUGCAGAUUUUCAGUGAAUCAUCGAAUCUUGAGAGACACCUUGCGCUCCUUGGUAUUCCGAGGAGCAUGCCUGUUUGAGUGUCA
rnacentral:rRNA from 1 species